CCUACAGAAAUAAACUCAAAUUCAUUAGAUGAAAAAUAGGAAGCUUAAAUUGAAGCAAAUAUAAGCAUGAAUAUGUAGUUGUACUACAGGAUAGUGUAUAACAAAAACAAAAGAAUUUUCCAUUAACAAACAAUUUCAAAGAAACAUUAAAGACAUAAUAGUCAAACAUUGAGAAAAAUACAAAUAUUACAUUUCCCAAAUUCAUACACGAGAACUUUUCAAAAGAUGCUUCAUUUUAUCUAACUGACAAAUCAAAAUAAAUGACUUUUACCAUGUAAUUCAAAUAUAUCAAGAAAAUUUUCCAAUAUGCAUUUGUACAGAUGUUGACCCACAUGCAUGAUAUAGGGUCAUAGCAUCCAGCCAAGUUGGAUAAAUUCUCCACAAAACAGCCUCUGAAAACAGUCAAUAAAAAUCUAAAUUCUCUAGCUCAAAUCAACUCUCGGUUGCUUGCUCAAAAGUCAAUGCAAACAUGAAUUACAGAGUUCUUGAUUGAUGUGAUAACCUUGCUAGGUUUCCCUAGAAAAUCCAUCAAAGUCCAUAACCCAAAGCAUCCACCGCCCAGAGCACACUAUAAGCCAGAUAGCAUCAUUCCAAUUCAAAGAUCAGCGGAGUGAAAGCCUUCAACUUAUCAAUGUCAAAACAGAUAUUUCCAGUGAACAUCACAAUAGCAUUAUUCAUAAAAGCAUAAACAUUUUUAUAAUCAGAUAAUAGUGUACAUGUGUAUCUGACCAUGGGUUGAGUAUGAUCCAAUAAUAUCUUAAUCAGAGAGAGUAUGAUAAGAUAUUUUACAUGCAUGACAAUGAAAGAACUAGAGUCAAAUUUGAGCACUCA
rnacentral:misc_RNA from 1 species